GAUGAACGCUGGCGGCGUGCCUAAUACAUGCAAGUCGAGAGAACGGACGAGAAGCUUGCUUUUCUGAUGUUAGCGGCGGACGGGUGAGUAACACGUGGAUAACCUACCUAUAAGACUGGGAUAACUUCGGGAAACCGGAGCUAAUACCGGAUAAUAUUUUGAACCGCAUGGUUCAAAAGUGAAAGACGGUCUUGCUGUCACUUAUAGAUGGAUCCGCGCUGCAUUAGCUAGUUGGUAAGGUAACGGCUUACCAAGGCAACGAUGCAUAGCCGACCUGAGAGGGUGAUCGGCCACACUGGAACUGAGACACGGUCCAGACUCCUACGGGAGGCAGCAGUAGGGAAUCUUCCGCAAUGGGCGAAAGCCUGACGGAGCAACGCCGCGUGAGUGAUGAAGGUCUUCGGAUCGUAAAACUCUGUUAUUAGGGAAGAACAUAUGUGUAAGUAACUGUGCACAUCUUGACGGUACCUAAUCAGAAAGCCACGGCUAACUACGU
rnacentral:rRNA from 1 species